rnacentral:lncRNA from 1 species
AAAAAAAAUUAAUUGCAGAGGUAAAAAGGGCAAUGCAAGCAGGAAAAAUUGACAUAGCAAGAAUACACGCGGAAAAAUGCAUAAGAAAAAAAAAUGAAAAAAUGAACUAUCUUAAUUUAAGUAACAAAAUGGAUGUCCUUGUGUCAAGAUUAGAAGCAGCAUACAGAAGUGCAUCGUUAAUUAAUGAUGUUGGUCAAAUGGUACCUAUAAUUAAACAAAUAAAUGAAGAAACAAAUGUGGUCAAAGUGGGGAAUAAUGUUAUGCAGUUAGAAAACAUUUUUGAUGAAAUUACAAUUAGUUCCGAUUUAGUAAACGAUACUGUACAGACUAGUUCUACUAUUAUCGCACCAACAGAAGAGGUUGAUGAAUUAAUAACUAAAAUAGCAGAAGAACAUGCUAUAAAAUUAGAUGGGCAGUUGGGUCCUGUUAGUGCAAUUAAUCAGCAAUUGGAAGAGCUUAAUAAUAUGAGUGAAAGGAUUAAAAAUUUAAAAUAAUAAUUAUAAUAAUAAUGAAGAUAUAAUAUUACAGACUAGUUGUUUUUACUUUUACGUAUUUAUUCUUACCUACAGUUAAGAACAUUUAUGUUUUAUCGGAUGAUUUAUUAUUAUUAUUAUUAUUAUUUUAUUUUUGUUUAUUUUUGUUUAUUUACCCAUUUUCUUAUUACCCUUAAAAUGGAAUUUUUAUAGUACACUCCAAUGGAUGUCAUAUUUUUCGUUUGUUUUUGUAAAAAAAUAAAUAUAUCGGAGUUUGUUGAUAUAUAUAAUGC